AUACGGAGGAUCCGAGCGUUAUCCGGAUUUAUUGGGUUUAAAGGGAGCGUAGGUGGAUUGUUAAGUCAGUUGUGAAAGUUUGCGGCUCAACCGUAAAAUUGCAGUUGAAACUGGCAGUCUUGAGUACAGUAGAGGUGGGCGGAAUUCGUGGUGUAGCGGUGAAAUGCUUAGAUAUCACGAAGAACUCCGAUUGCGAAGGCAGCUCACUAGACUGUUACUGACUCUGAUGCUCGAAAGUGUGGGUAUCAAACAGGAUUAGAUACCCUGGUAGUCCACACAGUAAACGAUGAAUACUCGCUGUUUGCGAUAUACAGUAAGCGGCCAAGCGAAAGCAUUAAGUAUUCCACCUGGGGAGUACGCCGGCAACGGUGAAACUCAAAGGAAUUGACGGGG
rnacentral:rRNA from 1 species